AUUGAACGCUGGCGGCAGGCUUAACACAUUCAAGUCGAGCGAGCGGCGGACGGGUGAGUAAUGUCUGGGAAACUGCCUGAAGGAGGGGGAUAACUACUGGAAACGGAAUCUCAUACCGCAUACCAUCAGAUGUGCCCAGAUGGGAUUAGCUAGUAGGUGGGGUAAGGGCUCACCUAGGCGACGAACCCUAGCUGUUCUGAGAGUAUGACCAGCACAACUGGAACUGAGACACGGUCCAGACUCCUACGGGAGGCAGCAGUGGGGAAUAUUGCACAAUGGGCGCAAGCCUGAUGCAGCCAUGCCGCGUGUGUGAAGAAGGCCUUCGGGUUGUAAAGCACGUUCAGCGAGGAGGCGUUUCUCGCAGAAGAAGCACCGGCUAACUCCGUGCCAGCAGCCGCGGUAAUAC
rnacentral:rRNA from 1 species